CUUGCGUGCUGUUCAUUUGCAUUUGGCCUGUGAUAUGAUGCCCUUAGAUCUUAAGUGUUUGAAGAGUAUGGGUCUAAUCUAUCAAGAAGAGGAUGGUAGUUUCUCGUUUAUUCCUACAGGUCCUAUUUUACAGCAGCGUGGCAAUCCAACCACGGGCACGGCUACCCCAUCCACGUCCAUUGCUCCUGGCCCUUCCUCAUCUCGCUCGAUAGAGGAGCAUCUAGACCGUCUCAAGGCUGCCAUAAUGACCCUCACCACUCAUGUUACCAGCAUGGAUGCCGCCUUGCUUGCUUUAUGUCAUCACUUUGGGAUUUCACCACCUAC
rnacentral:misc_RNA from 1 species